ACAGCAGCAGCCGCGGUAACACGUAGGGUGCAAGCGUUAAUCGGAAUUACUGGGCGUAAAGCGUGCGCAGGCGGUUAUAUAAGACAGAUGUGAAAUCCCCGGGCUCAACCUGGGAACUGCAUUUGUGACUGUAUAGCUAGAGUACGGCAGAGGGGGAUGGAAUUCCGCGUGUAGCAGUGAAAUGCGUAGAUAUGCGGAGGAACACCGAUGGCGAAGGCAAUCCACUGGGCCUGUACUGACGCUCAUGCACGAAAGCGUGGGGAGCAAACAGGAUUAGAUACCCCCGUAGUCCCUGUCUCUUAUAC
rnacentral:rRNA from 1 species